UGAGGCAAACUUUUUUUGUGAUUUUGGGCUAUAUAAAUAAAACUGAAUUGAAUUCACAUACUGCUGUCAAACACUGGCGUCAACCAGGAGCAAUGUGGGGUUCAGUUGUAACAGUUCACUAGGAUCACUAGCAAGUUACUAAAAAAAUAAACACACAAAAGGGUUAAGCACAAAAGAAUUUCUUAAUGUGGAGAAAUUUAGGUGAAAUAUAGGUGAAACCUCAACUCAAAAUCUCAGGCUAAGCAGUUGCAUAAUCCAUACAUUCAAUGAUGUUCAUUAAAUAAUCAGCACAAAAAACAAAGAAACAUUUUAGUCCCGCUCAGUCUCAGUUCAGUCCAAAAUGAGUUCAAUUCCGCUCCGGAUCUUCAGAAGAAAUAUCCCCCCCCAAAAAAACAAAUGGGUCCUCAAAAAAUGAAUGUCCCUAAAGCGAUCGCUAAGUUUUCUGGUAUACCAGUAAUAAAAAAAAAAAGGUUGGAUCUCACCAGCGUUGUAUCCGAGGACUUGACGCGGCCUCGCGCAGCAAACCCUCCUGCGCGGAGAUCACAACGCAUGCUGGAUGCUGCGGGUCCCGGUGAUGCUUCCUCGAUAAUCCUUUUCCGAACUGGCCACGGUGGAUUACUUCCUUCGGCGAUCCAAGCGCUCCGCGUCUGGAAACGAGGCUCUCAAACAAAUACACCUGUGGAGCUGUCAGUCGCGCCCAGAGAGUGCGGAAGGGCAGAUCCUCGCGCCACGCCCCUCUACCUGGGUUUAUGAGGAAGUCAGCUGGGCUCCAGCUGUGCCAUCUUCCCCUCCUUAUAUAGUCUUUUACGGAAAGUCCUUCAAUUAUCUGAUUUCAUUUUGUUUUGUUUUACUGAAUAAUUUAAAACAGGCAACCAACAUCUUUUACAGCAAGAAUACAAAGUUGUUAUACAAAACAUAUAUUCCCCACUUUAAUUUUGAAUUUUUCUCAGGCGUUUUGUUAAACAUCAGUGUAAUGUGACGACGUCACAGAGUGUCUUGCUCAAAGACACUUUGGCACGUGGCCUGGCAGGAUAGGAACCAUACCCAAUUACCCCUGGCUGCAGCCUGCAGACCGGGGCGUGCCUCAACGUGGGCGGAGUUAAGCCUUUAAUGGGCGGAGUUAAACUUUAACGUUGAGGCGCGCCCACUGUUUCUGAUUCUUCUUCGUCACCGGAAUUGUCGUCUUCUUCUUUGCAUCUUACAAGUUUCCACAUCGAUUUUUGCAAAAUGGAGACACUCUGCACACCUUCUCUCCUCCUGGAGGACACUUGUCAGAGAUGAUGUUCCGGUCUGAUAUGUCAUUGUCUCAGCUGAAAUUUUCCAUUUGCUCUGUAUCCUUUAAUCAAAACAUUUUUUCACCCCCAGACUUUGUCCUAGUGGUGAUCUCCAACAACUGUGGGAUAUUUCUUAGAAUGGGUCUAAAGAAAACAGAAUGCAAGCCAGAAAACGGCACCGGGAAGAGCAGUAACCACAUGUGAGAGGAGGCCGUUUGGAUCACAGUGCAAAUAUUGCAGGGAGACCAGCUACUAUUUGAAGGGGGAGAUGACAUGAAGACCAACAGUGGGACAGAGAAGAUUAAGGAAAAAAAAACUCCUCCCUUAUCCAAGAAAUUGAAGAAGCAGCUUUACUGCAUGACAUCAUAAGGGCAGCCAAAUGCUCCAGAACACCAGCGUUUCCAGGAAGAUGGUCCCUGCCUGAUGUUAUAGAGAUGGAAGAGCGGAACACUGAAAGAACUCCAAAGCUGUGACUUCAUGAGUGAAGGGAAGAUAAUCAUGGAGCUGAGGGAUCCUUUCAUGUUCUCCUUUCAGUUGAAAAGUGACUGAAACAUUUUUAGUGCAGAAAUAAUGGAUGUAAGGAACUUAAAAGUGUAUAUGUGUUUUGAGGAGCAAUAAACAGUUUUGGCUGUUUGUUUCUUGAAAAAAA